AAAGAAUAAAAUAAUGCAAUUUGCAGCAACAUGGAUGGACCUGGAGAUCAUAAUUCUAAGUGAAUAAGCCAGAAAGAGAAAGAAAAAUACAUAUGAUAUCACUUAUAUGUGGAAUCUUAAA